GGUUCGGUGGUGUAGUUGGUUAUCACGUCAGUCUAACACACUGAAUGUCCCGAGUUCAAAUCUCGGCUGAAUCA
rnacentral:tRNA from 1 species